AGUAGGCCCGGAGUGGUGCCAGCAGGAGGUGGCCUUAGAAAGGCGGAGACCCAAGGAGCAGAGUGAGUCGGCGUCCAGCUCCACCUGAAAGCGCCAUCUUGUCGCCACUUCCCUCAGGAGCAGGAACAGAAAAGAAAGAAGUCAGUUUUGCUGUAUUUGAUUGAGUCUGAGGAUGAUGAUGGUCUGUAAGGAGGACACUGGUAUAAGGAACCUCAAGAAGUUUUUACUCAAUUCUAUGGCUUGAAUGU
rnacentral:lncRNA from 1 species